CCUACGGGAGGCAGCAGUGGGGAAUAUUGGACAAUGGGGGCAACCCUGAUCCAGCGAUGCCGCGUGUGUGAAGAAGGCCUGCGGGUUGUAAAGCACUUUCGAUGGGGAAGAGGACUGAUUGGUUAAGAGCUGAUGAGUUGGACGGUACCCAUAUAAGAAGCACCGGCAAACUCCGUGCCAGCAGCCGCGGUAAU
rnacentral:rRNA from 1 species